UAGCUAGUUGGUGGGGUAAGGGCCUACCAAGGCGACGAUCGGUAGCUGGUCUGAGAGGAUGACCAGCCACACUGGAACUGAGGCACGGUCCAGACUCCUACGGGAGGCAGCAGUGGGGAAUAUUGGACAAUGGGGGGAACCCUGAUCCAGCAAUGCCGCGUGUGUGAAGAAGGCCUGAGGGUUGUAAAGCACUUUCAGUGGGGAGGAGGGUUGAUAGGUUAAGAGCUAAUUAACUGGACGUUACCCACAGAAGAAGCACCGGCUAACUCCGUGCCAGCAGCCGCGGUAAUACGGAGGGUGCGAGCGUUAAUCGGAAUUACUGGGCGUAAAGAGUGCGUAGGUGGUUGAAUAAGUUAUCUGUGAAAUCCCUGGGCUUAACCUGGGCAGGUCAGAUGAUACUGUUUAACUCGAGUAUGGGAGAGGGUAGUGGAAUUUCCGGUGUAGCGGUGAAAUGCGUAGAGAUCGGAAGGAACACCAGUGGCGAAGGCGGCUACCUGGCCCAAUACUGACACUGAGGCACGAAAGCGUGGGGAGCAAACAGGAUUAGAUACCCUGGUAGUCCACGCCGUAAACGAUGUCAACUAGCUGUUGGUUAUAUGAAAAUAAUUAGUGGCGC
rnacentral:rRNA from 1 species